rnacentral:rRNA from 1 species
UUGGAUCAAGAGUUCGACCGUGCACGGUGGCCUCACUUGUAGCGUCGGCCUCGGUUGUCGUUACGGUGGCGGAUCAACCCCGUGCGCUAAACGGUCGUCUCUAACAGACCGAAACGGUUCCCUGUGAGUAGGCCGCUUCAUUGGGGCUGAAAGCGCCAACGCAUCAACCAUAUGCAUACGGGACGUCGGUCAAUGUUACUGUGAACAAACCAGCGUGUCCAAAACAGGCUCUCGCCUGAAUGUUCGAGCAUGGAAUAACAAGGGAUCGAUUCUCUCGGUUCUUUUUGUUGGUUUUUAACCCGAGAAGGAGUAAUUCAGGCACGGUGUCUGGGCUGGGUUCCCCGGCGCUUCGGCGUCGGCCCCAGUUAGGCCGUGUCCUUACGGGAUAAAUAGGGACUGACGGGGUCGUACGUACUUCCACGUCAGAGGUGAAAUUCUUAGAUCGUGGGAAGACGAACUUCUGCGAAAGCAUUCGACAAGAAUGUCUUCAUUAAUCAAGAACGAGAGUGUGGGGAUCGAAGAUGAUCAGAUACCGUCGUAGUCCACUACUGUAAACAAUGCCGUCUCAGGAUUGAGAAGCGAACACAAUGACUUUCACAGCACUAACCCCUGAAACGAGAAAUCAAAGAUUAUGGGUUCAGGGGGGAGUACAUUCGCAAGGCUGAAACUUAAAGGAAUUGACGGAAUGACACCACAAGGCGUGGAGUAUGCGGCUUAAUUUGACUCAACACGGGGAAUUUUACUAGGUCAGGACAAUGUAAGGAUUGACAGAUUGAGAGCCCUUUCUCGAUCCAUUGUGUGGUGGUGCAUGGCCGCUCCUGGUUGGUGGAGUGAUUUGUCUGGUUGAUUCCGUUAACGAACGAGAUCUCGACCCUUAAAUAGGUGCCCGUGUCGAUUGUAGUUUUGCCUCCGCUCGCUCGCGAGAUGGAGCA